rnacentral:rRNA from 1 species
AUUGAACGCUGGCGGCAUGCUUUACACAUGCAAGUCGAACGGUAACAGGUUAAGCUGACGAGUGGCGAACGGGUGAGUAAUGCAUCGGAACGUGCCCGAUCGUGGGGGAUAACGCAGCGAAAGCUGCGCUAAUACCGCAUACGAUCUGAGGAUGAAAGCGGGGGACCGUAAGGCCUCGCCCGAUCGGAGCGGCCGAUGUCAGAUUAGGUAGUUGGGGGGGUAAAGGCCCACCAAGCCGACGAUCUGUAGCUGGUCUGAGAGGACGACCAGCCACACUGGGACUGAGACACGGCCCAGACUCCUACGGGAGGCAGCAGUGGGGAAUUUUGGACAAUGGGCGAAAGCCUGAUCCAGCAAUGCCGCGUGCAGGAAGGAGGCCUUCGGGUUGUAAACUGCUUUUGUACGGAGCGAAAAGGUCCUUUCUAAUACAAGGGGCUCAUGACGGUACCGUAAGAAUAAGCACCGGCUAACUACGUGCCAGCCGCCGCCGUAA